AUCACAUAAGGCAGAGACUCAUAGACGUUCUAGUAUGCUUCAGCAUAUGUUUUAUAUACUGUCAUCUGCCAGCUGCGGAAUGUAAGUUAAUUAAUAUUCAGCUUUAUAAACAAACUAUAAUCUACACGUAAAACAAACUUUCCGACUAAGCUUUUGUCGAUAAUAUUGAUGCCAAAACAAUAACAGUUAUCGCUCACACCAGUGUAUCGAUAUACAAUCUCAAUAUGGUCACUUAUAACCAAUUAUAUAUGAUCCUGUUUUUUUUAAACUUCACUGUGUUAACUGUUCAUAAGUUCAUGUUAUUAUGUGGUUUGCUCCAGUUUUUUCUUCUUCACUAUUUGACAGUUUGUGUGGAUACUUAAAUAAUUAUAUAUCGUAUUGUGGGUGAGCUAUUCACACAUACAGGAAAUGAUAAUCAAUAAAUACAAAAUAUGAUGCAUGAUAUUUUGUUCAUUCGAAUUCAUAAGGUCCCGAUACUUGUGAUAUUGUCCCCGAAAUUAGAUUUUCCUUGGGUUUUAUACAUUCAACAUAAGAUCCUGUUCUCCAUUCUUUUUACUUUUUAACUUUUGUUUCGAACUGAACUGCCUCGACACAUGUGAGCUUCUUCGAAUACAACAACGAAGGUAAACUGCUUAAAUUUUGAUUUAAGUAUAUGUUAUAUUGGUCUUCAAAUCAGAGAGAGAACUGUUAAACAGGUUUGUGGAAACUGAGCCCUGUCAUAACCUCGGACAGUGGAGUAACAGUACAAAAUGAGACAAACAAUAAAAAUCGUUUGAAUGAGGCUGAACUCAUCAGUCAAUAAUAACUAUUGAAAAAGAUAUGUAUCUGAGACAAUAAUAUCAAUAAGUUCACAACCAAAAUACGUAUGAAUUAGUUUCAUUAGCAGUCAGAUAAAAACCAUGACCUUGUGUAAUGCCAAACGGUCAGAAUCGACAGAUUGUAGUAACGUGAAUGUACAUAUGUGUUAUAUUUUGUAUUGUUUUAUUUUACUCAUAACAAAAUCAUUUUUAUAUAUCAAGAAAAACAAUAUUAAAAACAUCAAUUACAGUAUUAAAAACAUCAAUUACAGUGUUUACAAAAUGACCUUUUAGAGUACGUUUAUUUAAAGUAGUGAUAUAAGUUGCGCAGCUUUUUGAGUUGGACAUUUCUACUUUUUCAGCACACAACUAUUGUUCAAACCCCAGCAUAUUAAUUUGAUUAGAUAAUAACCUACAUGAUAUACACUUACUAGGAUUUAUGAUGGUUGACCUCUGUAUGCAGGCAUAAUUUGAGUUCAUGACUGUAGAUUGACAUUUGGCCUUUAAACGACGAUAGGCACCAGUGGAAAGCAAAUUAUGAUUUUAUUUUAAAUCAUUGAUGUGUGUUAUAAGCAAAGACGAUUCUUAUGGAUCAAUAUACAUUUUCUGAAUGGUUACAAACAUGAAAUCACUAUACCGUGGGGCCAGACGGAUAUGGUAAUAAUA
rnacentral:lncRNA from 1 species